UACGAAGGGGGCUAGCGUUGUUCGGAAUUACUGGGCGUAAAACGCACGUAGGCGGAUAUUUAAGUCAGGGGUGAAAUCCCGGGGCUCAACCCCGGAACUGCCUUUGAUACUGGGUAUUUCGAGUCCGGAAGAGGUGAGUGGAAUUCCGAGUGUAGAGGUGAAAUUCGUAGAUAUUCGGAGGAACACCAGUGGCGAAGGCGGCUCACUGGUCCGGUACUGACGCUGAGGUGCGAAAGCGUGGGGAGCAAACAGG
rnacentral:rRNA from 1 species